rnacentral:rRNA from 1 species
CGGGUGGCAGCAGUAAGGAAUAUUGGGCAAUGGAGGCAACUCUGACCCAGCCAUCCCGCGUGAAGGAUGAAGGCCCUAUGGGUUGUAAACUUCUUUUGUUUGGGAAGAAAUCAGGACAUUCAUGUGCUGUUGACGGUACCUUACGAAUAAGCACCGGCUAACUCCGUGCCAGCAGCCGCGGUAAUACGGAGGGUGCAAGCGUUAUCCGGAAUCACUGGGUUUAAAGGGUGCGUAGGCGGCUAAAUAAGUCAGAGGUGAAAGCUGGCAGCUCAACUGUCAAACUGCCUUUGAUACUGUUUGGCUUGAAUCAGGUUAAGGUAGGCAGAAUGUGGCAUGUAGCGGUGAAAUGCAUAGAUAUGCCAUAGAAUACCAAUUGCGAAGGCAGCUUGCUGGGCCUGAAUUGACGCUGAGGCACGAAAGCGUGGGGAUCAAACAGGAUUAGAUACCCCAGU